CCUGGGUGGCACCUGUUAAGUUGGUAAAACAAUGUUCAAGAUUGUGAGUGUAGAAGAGUACAUAUCUGAUUUGAAAAUGUGUCUUUGAUUUUGUUUGCUUUGACAGAUGAUGCUAAAUUAUUUUGUUUUUUAUGGUAGUUAGUGUUGACGUCAUGAUCAAACAGAGAGGAUCUGUGACAGAAUUAAAGUAUCUGUAGAUGUACAGACAUUUAGCUCAUUCCCUGACAAUAGUCACAGCUGAUAGGGUUAGUCCUGACUAUACCAACAAAGUUCAAACUUUGUGUCUCCCCUCAUGUCUGGAUUGUUUGGCAGACUUGGUUUAGGGUAACAUGCCCCCCUGACUUUACAUCAUCUUCAGUAUAAAUACAAAGCCUAAUGGGAUACUGUGACAGACACUGUAUUACAUGUGCUGUUAAUGUCACUUCUCCUCGCGAGUCGUAUAUAAACACCUUCAACUU